rnacentral:rRNA from 1 species
GACGAACGCUGGCGGCGUGCCUAAUACAUGCAAGUAGAACGCUGAAGGAGGAGCUUGCUUCUCUGGAUGAGUUGCGAACGGGUGAGUAACGCGUAGGUAACCUGCCUGGUAGCGGGGGAUAACUAUUGGAAACGAUAGCUAAUACCGCAUAAUAGCAGUUGUUGCAUGACAACUGUUUGAAAGGUGCAAUUGCACCACUACCAGAUGGACCUGCGUUGUAUUAGCUAGUUGGUGGGGUAACGGCUCACCAAGGCGACGAUACAUAGCCGACCUGAGAGGGUGAUCGGCCACACUGGGACUGAGACACGGCCCAGACUCCUACGGGAGGCAGCAGUAGGGAAUCUUCGGCAAUGGACGGAAGUCUGACCGAGCAACGCCGCGUGAGUGAAGAAGGUUUUCGGAUCGUAAAGCUCUGUUGUAAGAGAAGAACGAGUGUGAGAGUGGAAAGUUCAAACUGUGACGGUAUCUUACCAGAAAGGGACGGCUAACUACGUG